rnacentral:rRNA from 1 species
UUAAUCCUGGCUCAGAUUGAACGCUGGCGGCAUGCCUAACACAUGCAAGUCGAACGGUAACAGGUCUUCGGAUGCUGACGAGUGGCGGACGGGUGAGUAAUGCGUAGGAAUCUGUCUUUUAGUGGGGGACAACCCAGGGAAACUUGGGCUAAUACCGCAUGAGCCCUGAGGGGGAAAGCGGGGGAUCUUCGGACCUCGCGCUAAGGGAGGAGCCUACGUCUGAUUAGCUAGUUGGUAGGGUAAAGGCCUACCAAGGCGACGAUCGGUAGCCGGUCUGAGAGGACGACCAGCCACACUGGGACUGAGACACGGCCCAGACUCCUACGGGAGGCAGCAGUGGGGAAUUUUUCGCAAUGGGGGCAACCCUGACGAAGCAAUGCCGCGUGGAUGAAGAAGGCCUUCGGGUUGUAAAGUCCUUUCGUGGAGGACGAAAAGGCAGGUGCUAACAUCAUUUGCUGUUGACGUGAAUCCAAGAAGAAGCACCGGCUAACUCCGUGCCAGCAGCCGCGGUAAUACGGGGGGUGCAAGCGUUAAUCGGAAUCACUGGGCGUAAAGGGUGCGUAGGCGGUACAUUAGGUCUGUCGUGAAAUCCCCCGGGCUCAACCUGGGAAUGGCGGUGGAAACCGGUGAACUAGAGUAUGGGAGAGGUUGGUGGAAUUCCAGGUGUAGCGUUGAAAUGCGUAGAGAUCUGGAGGAACAUCAGUGGCGAAGGCGGCCACCUGGCCAAUUACUGACGCUGAGGCACGAAAGCGUGGGGAGCAACAGGAUUAAUACCCUGGUAGUCCACGCCUAAACGAUGAAUACUAAUGUUGUGCCUUGCUACUGAGUGUCGUACUAACCCAUAGUAUCCGCCUGGUAGUCCGCC